GACGAACGCUGGCGGCGUGCCUAAUACAUGCAAGUAGAACGCAGUGGGGACGGGUGAGUAACACGUGGGUAACCUCCCAUCAGAGGGGAUAACACUUGGAAACAGGUGCUAAACCGAUACUGAUGGAUGAACCCGCGGUGCAUUAGCUAGUUGGUGAGGUAACGGCUCACCAAGGCCACGAUGCAUAGCCGACCUAGUAGGGUUGUCGUCCACACGGGGACUGAGACACGGCCCAGAAUGCUGCGGGAGGCAGCAGUAGGGAAUCUUCGGCAAUGGACGAAAGUCUGACCGAGCAACGCCGCGUAAGUGAAGAAGGUUUUCGGAUCGUAAAACUCUGUUGUUAGAGAAGCGGAAUCUAACCAGAAAGCCACGGCUAACUACGUGCCAGCCGCCGCGGUAAUAC
rnacentral:rRNA from 1 species